ensembl:snRNA U6 U6 spliceosomal RNA
AUGCUUGCUUCUGCAGCACACUUACUAAAAUUGGAAUGAUGUAGAGGAGAUUAGCAUGGCCCCUGCACAAGGAUAAUAUGCAAAUUCACAAAGUGUUCCAGAUUUAA